rnacentral:rRNA from 1 species
UACGAAGGGGGCUAGCGUUGUUCGGAAUUACUGGGCGUAAAGCGCACGCAGGAGGAUUUAUAAGUCAGGGGUGAAAUCCCGGGGCUCAACCUCGGAAUGGCCUUUGAUACUGUCUAUCUUGAGUCCGGGAGAGGUGAGUGGAAUUCCUAGUGUAGAGGUGAAAUGCGUAGAUAUUAGGAAGAACACCAGUGGCGAAGGCGGCGCACUGGCCCGGUACUGACGCUCAUGUGCGACAGCGUGGGGAGCAAACAGG